ACUCAAAGGAAUUGACGGGGACCCGCACAAGCAGCGGAGCAUGUGGUUUAAUUCGACGCAACGCGAAGAACCUUACCAGGGCUUGACAUCCCUCUGACCGGAUUAGAGAUAGUCCUUUCUCUUCGGAGACAGAGGAGACAGGUGGUGCAUGGUUGUCGUCAGCUCGUGUCGUGAGAUGUUGGGUUAAGUCCCGCAACGAGCGCAACCCUUGCCUUUAGUUGCCAUCAGGUAAAGCUGGGCACUCUAGAGGGACUGCCGGUGACAAACCGGAGGAAGGUGGGGAUGACGUCAAAUCAUCAUGCCCCUUAUGUCCUGGGCUACACACGUGCUACAAUGGUCGGUACAACGGGAAGCGAGACUGCGAAGUUUAGCCAAUCCCAAUAAGCCGAUCCCAGUUCGGAUUGUAGGCUGCAACUCGCCUACAUGAAGUCGGAGUUGCUAGUAAUCGCGAAUCAGCACGUCGCGGUGAAUGCGUUCCCGGGUCUUGUACACACCGCCCGU
rnacentral:rRNA from 1 species